rnacentral:rRNA from 1 species
UACGUAGGGUGCAAGCGUUGUCCGGAAUUAUUGGGCGUAAAGAGCUCGUAGGCGGUCUGUCACGUCGGCUGUGAAAACUCGGGGCUCAACCCCGAGCCUGCAGUCGAUACGGGCAGACUAGAGUGCUGUAGGGGAGACUGGAAUUCCUGGUGUAGCGGUGAAAUGCGCAGAUAUCAGGAGGAACACCGGUGGCGAAGGCGGGUCUCGUGGGCAGUAACUGACGCUGGAGGAGCGAAAGCGUGGGGAGCAAACAGG